GGGAUAUGGCGAAAUUGGUAGACGCUACGGACUU
rnacentral:tRNA from 33 species